rnacentral:rRNA from 1 species
GACGAACGCUGGCGGCGUGCUUAACACAUGCAAGUCGAACGGAAAGGCCCUGCUUUUGUUGGGUGCUCGAGUGGCGAACGGGUGAGUAACACGUGAGUAAACUGCCCUUGACUUUGGGAUAACUUCAGGAAACUGGGGCUAAUACCGCAUAGGAGCUCCUGCUGCAUGGUGGGGGUUGGAAAGUUUCGGCGGUUGGGGAUGGACUCGCGGCUUAUCAGCUUGUUGGUGGGGUAGUGGCUUACCAAGGCUUUGACGGGUAGCCGGCCUGAGAGGGUGACCGGCCCCAUUGGGACUGAGGUACGGCCCAGACGCCAACGGGAGGCAGCGGGGGGGAAUAUGGCGCAGUGGGCGGAAGCCUGAUGCAGCGACGCCGCGUGCGGGAUGACGGCCUUCGGGUUGUAACCCGCUUUCGCCUGUGACGAAGCGUGAGUGACGGUAAUGGGUAAAGAAGCACCGGCUAACUACGUG